ensembl:lncRNA
GCUUUUCGUUUUGCUGCCCGUUCAUUUCGCUUGGCAAAAGGCUGGUUAUAGAAGCGGGGGGACGUCGCAGCUGUCGUGUUUGCGGUUUGCCUCGCCGCAAUCAGGCUCGCGCUCGCGGGGCCGUGAUUGCGGUAGCCUCCGCCUCAUUUGCAUUGAUGAGGCCGUGGUAGCGGACGGGGCGCAGCGCAGCGCCCGACUCAAUCACAGCGCUCGGCAUGAGCACGGGGAGCCGGGCAUCCGCCGCGCGGCGCCUCAGCCCACCCCGCGUUACGGCCGCUCCUGCGAAAUGGUCCGAACGAGCAACUCCGAAGAUGCGUGUUAAUUGAGGGGCCGGCAUUUCCUUGCGCUCUACUUAUUGGAUAUAACGAUGAUGUGCUCUUCAGUCCCCCAGGAUCCCCCCAAACCGUCCUACCUGGAGUCCUUGAUACUUUUAGGACGGGCAAGAAGAUUUGUGUUCCAUAUCCCAAAGGGUUGCUCUCUCCACCCCCCCCCCCCCCCCCCCCCCCCCCCCCCCCCCCCCCCCCUUUGUUCAUUGUUUACACGGAUGAAGAGAAGGGCCCUGGGUUAUUUGUUUUUCUUUCCUUCCCCCACCCCCCCCACCCCAACCCCCCCCCUUUUUUUUCUUUCCUCCCUUUUUUCCCGAUAUGUGAUCGCUUUGCAUACAGGACAAAAUGUUUCAGUGUUUUAAAUGCCGAAGUAUUCAAAGCAUUCGCACCCCCAAACCACGCACUGUGCCUCCCCCAGAGAAUGCUUUUUCCACCGAAGUUAGAAAUGUCUAAGAAUAGAACACAGUCGUUUCCCUCUGUACCCCCUGGACCCACAAUGUCCUGAGUUUCUCAUAGCGAUUAAUCUGAGAUCUAUUUUCCCACCACUGUCCUGGAUGUGGGUAUUGAAAUCAUCAUCUGUGCUUUGAAAAAAUAAAAUAAAAUAGUAAUAAUUUAAAAAGAACAAAAUAAACAUUUUGUAAAAAAGAAAAAAAAAGAAGAAAAUGGAAGAAGUGAUAAUUCGGAGCUAAAGCGUGCAGUUCAAAAGCUGAAGCUCCCAUUGGAGAACAGAAAAUUUAAUGAGCUUUUAAUGGAAUGCAAUGCUCGGAGUAGUAAAUUAUUUGUUAGUUGACGAUGCAAUCAGCAUGCUGAUUAAGGUCGCUUGGUUUUUUACCAAACAUUAACUGAAUGAAAGCGGUUAGCCCGCGUUGUUCUGCUUGGGGGGCUCCGGCGAAGCAAAUGGACUUUAAGAACAGCGACUGUCAAUAAAGGCCCUGAUAUCACCAUGGAAAUCAUGAUCUCCAACUGACUUAAAGUCAAUCAAACACUGAAUUACUGGAGAGGAGGAGACUGGUGUUUAUGAUACAACACCUCCAUCAGACGUGCAGCUAAAUCGCUAAGGACAGAGUUUGCCCCAUGACUGGGCUUUUGGUGGAAAGGAAGAAGUAUUCUAAGAUGUUGUCUCAUCAAACUCAAAACAUUUUGCAAGGGGGAAUACAGAGUCCAACAUUAUUUAAAUCCUAAUCAGAGCUUCAGUCGAGUUAUCUCAAUAAAUAGAUGCCCAAAGGCACAAGAACUGGCUCUUCCUGCAGAACUGCAAAUCAGGAAACCCCAGAAUGAGAAAGAGGAAACCAAGAAAACUUGUGAUGAGAUCAGGAGCUCAGGUGCUCAGGUGGGUCUAGGGUUUGAACAUAUAGGGGUUAAAUAAGCUAGCUUUAGAAACUAGGGAAGGAGAACAAUGUCUCAACAUUUCAUGGUCAGCUGUGCAAACACCAAGAAAGGAACAAUACAAAAUGAAUGGCUUUGACCGGUUUGAAUGCAUCACAAGAAGGUCAGACCAAGGAAGACGUCGAGCCUUUGCGAGGAAGACUUCUGAUUUCAUCCCCACAACCACCAGAGGGAGACCCCAACUAUGGACAACGCAUGUGCCAGGGGAGGGGCAGUAUGUAAACAAAUUUCCAGAAGGAUAAUGAAUAUGUAGAUGGGUUCCAAGAAUUCUGCUGAAUAUAUAUGGACUUGGCUUACAAAUUUGUAGCAUUUUUGCUUGCUGGUGUGCAAGUUUGCUGGAGUGAUCCCCCUUGCACCCGGCCGGCCGAAUAAACAUACCUGCUUUAUAACCUAACCGGGUUAUAGAGUUUGAUUCCGCACGUCAGUAAGACUGCACUGUGAUAGGUUCCUAGGAGUCAGACUCAGCAUUGACUGAUGGACAUUAUUUCUGAUGGUGUGAGGUUUUGCUGUGAAACUCUAUAUUGUGAAGUGUUGCUAUAAACUCUUAAAUUAUGGACAUUUGUUGGAAAAAAAUAUCCAGCUGAAGUUAUUAUAUAAAGAUGCAAUCUUUUGCUUAACAAUUUUCUUAACCGCAAGAGGUUGAUUAAAAAUUAAUGCUUGCCCUAUUCUCGUAUUAUUUCCUAAAUAUUUGCUAUUGUGCUUGAUUGGAAAUGAGAUAGAAGGCCAGUCUGACCUUGGAUAUGACUCACCGGAGGCUGUUCUCAUGUUUUUUAAGGCACAAAGCCAAUGCAAGUUGCAUCAAAGCUAGUUAGAAUGUAUUCUGUAAAUACAGCAGUAGUGAAGUAGGAAACAAUGGAAGGGGUUGAUUCACUGCCCAGGGGAAAAAAAGAAAAACAACAGAUAUACUAAGUACUCUAAGGCAAAAACAUUCCAUUUGUUUGUUUCUUUUCAGUCUUUAUAAGGAUGAAAUCAGUCAUAAUGGCUAGUUGUUAUGUUAAAAGGGCAAAAUUAUAGCUCCCGUAGCUGAACAGCAGGCUGGGGAGGGAGGUCAAGUUGUUUUUAAGCCAAAUUGGUGAACCUUGAGGUAGCAGACAGCUGUUUGAAGCAACUACAACCCUGGGGAACUAAGAAGACGCAAACUCCUGGCCAGUUUACUAAUCGUUGAUAUUCAAUAAAAAGAAAAGAAUCAGUGUUUACUUUUUUUUCCACACUGCUAUUGAAGAUGUUUAGUUUGAUUGAUACCCACUGACAGCAAAAAAAACUUGACACGGAACAAUACUCCCUCCAGGGAUACAAUCAGUCCCAGCUGUGGUUAGAUAGUUGUGACUUUUUGCUCUUGCAAAAAUAACUGGGCCAAGAAUGGAAUCCUGUGUUGAACACGAUGAGACUUAGAAGCUGAGAUUAACAUUGUCCUUGAGCGGUAGUCAUUGGAAACCACAUGUUGAAAUGCAGAGCUAGUACACGUCUUUUGAAUAAAAUCAAUAAGCAGAAUGGUGACAGCUUCCACGUAUGCAGUUCUAUUGUUGCUGUCAGAAGACAAAAAUAUAAACAUUUAACUGAUGUGAGACGUGGUUAAAUUGCAGUCCUAUACAGUUUGAACAGAGCUUGGUCAUAAAUCUUAAGACUGGUGAAGCCCUGCAGUUCUAAUACGAAUCAGCAAAUCUUAACAUUUUAAUAUUUAGACUAGCAAGGUAGAAGAUUUACCUUUUCACAUUUAGGCAGAAUUAAGUAAUGCUUUUAUGAGCAUUUAAAUAUGAAAAAUGCACACGAGUAUUUCCAUAAUACUGAACAGUUUAGUAUCAGAUAUGUUUGUAGUUUCCAGUAUUGUGAUAACACCUGAGCAGCAUCCAACUGUGAAAGGCAACACCAGUGCUGUGAUGGGUCCACUUCUGCAUGAUUUUAAGCAAUUAGACAAUACCACAGAUGUCAUUCAAGAAGCAUGUCUUGGAGCAUUAGUACCUCAUGAAACCUUGCCUUGGCAUUCGUUCUGUUUUCCACUUUGAACUGCUGUGUUUAGUUUCACAGUGACCUUUCAGAACAAUGAAAUUUUAUUUACUCUUUGAUCCACUGUCAUAGAGAUUGAAACACUAGUGAAAAAAUGAAAUGCCAGAAUGAGUACCAUGGGGCUAUCUCACAAAUUCCAUGGAUAAACACAUAUUCCUUGAUGCAGGUGGUACUGCUCUCUGAGUGGGAUGAUGGGGAGUGUGUACCCAUACACACCCGUCUUAUGGCUUUCUGCUAAAUACAGAAGACAAAUUUUACCCUCAAAUACUCUUACUGAAUGUAAACACUUAUGAUCCAAAUUUUGCAGUCUUUGCCUUUUUCUAUUACUCAAUGCCCAUUAUAAACUCCAAGUCAGAUUUGCUUAUUCUUAGAAUUAUCCAUAGAUGCUGUGAAGAGGUACUGUGAGUUGGAAGCACACAUUGGUCCUUGCUUUUCUCUCUUCUCAAGAGGAAGCAAGCCUUAGCAGCCUUUCUUCCUCACUCAGCACAGUGCUGCUAUCAGCUCCAGAGUUUAAGGUCAGGGUAAUUAUAUCACAAGUCAAGUUGUAUCGGUGGAAUCAUACACAGAAUCAUAGAAUCAUAGGGGCUGGAAAGAGAUCGUUUCAUCCAACCCCCUGCUAAAGCAGAUUCCUAGAAUAGGAAAGAGUCCAUAGUAUCACCAAGGUUGGAGAUAGAAGUGUUCUGAACAGCCAGCAGAGCAUGGCAUCACACACAAACAGCUCAGUUUAAACAUCAUUAUCUCAUGAAAUUUAAGUAAAGAUUUCCUCUGCAAAGGAACUACUCAAUUUCAAAAAGCUAAACACUGCAUUUAUAAAAUUAACAGGACCAUAAAAAUUAUAAUUAUGUUGAAAAGUCUUUAAGAUUUGUCAUUGAAUUUUAGAUUUUCUUUAGUAUAAAUCUACAGUUAUUUUUGGAUAUAAAAACACAGGGAUGUAGUAAGAAAUUUGAAAAAAAUAGUACUUUCAAGAAAAAUAUGUAGGUAAUUUUCAAAGAAAACUUUAAAGGAUGAAACAUACAUAAUUGCAGUUCAUAACAACCAAUGGAUUUUUAAUAUUAAAAUUUAAUUUACGAAUAUUAUAAAAUCACAUCUGAAAUACUAAUCAUAUUCUUAUCUUGCUGGUUUCCAUUACAAACUUAUGACUGGAUGGAAAUUGGCCUGUUUCUAAAGUUUACGAACCUUUAGAAUAAAACAUCCAUAACUUAUUUGUCCAUUAGAGUGUACAGUAUCAAGAACAAUCAAACAAGUAAAUGAACAGAAAGGCAACAGAAGAGCUGCAUUUUCAAUAUGUAGUGCAAUAGGUAAUGGAAUUACCCUAAUAAAAUUUACUUGUAAAUCCCACCAAACUAAAUGAGUAAGCAAAUAAAGAGGUUGUACAUGCAACUCAAGGGUUUUAUGAAGCUUUUCCAUCUUCCAUUUGGUUUAGUUAUCAGCUCAGCAGACUUGGUCCUGUUGGAAGAAUCCAUUUGAGCACUCAGACCCACACUGGUUAACAUAUGGUUAAUGCAUUGAAGAGGAAUUUCAAUUAGAGUCUUCUGAUCAGGGGGAAGUUCUUUACCAAGAGAGUGGUGAGGUGCUGGAACAGGCUGGCCAGAGAGGUUGUGGAUACACUGUCCCAGGAGGUGUUCAAGACCAGGUCGGAUUGACUGCAGGACUUGGGACCUGUAUUCCAGCAGGAAGAAGCACACACCUUGUUAUUCAGCAUGCACUAGGAAGAGUGCACAUUCUGAAUGUGCCCCUCUGCAUCUGCUCAAAACCUGGGGACAGUUGAUGCUUUCUUAAGCAAUAAGUAGAACAACACUAGAAAUAAGUGAAAAGUCAUAUUUUAACUUAUUUUACAUUCUGGUAGUGCUUCCCCUUGUGGAAUUUUUUGCUACAUGCUGUCGAUCAGCAGACUUCCCUGCCCUCAAAGCAAUGUGAGAUUCACAUUUCUCAAAAAAUUACUACCUUUGAAAUAUUCUGUGGUGCAGAUAAACACAAAGGUUUUUUUGUUUGUUUGUUUGUUUGUUUGUUUGUUUUCCUUACCAUAUUUUGUUUCCAAAACAUUCAGGACUGUAGAUGUGUUUCUCAGAAAUCCAUCUUGCAUGCUUUUAUGGAGUAUGGCUAAAAUACUUCAUCUGCAAAACAAAACAGAACAAAACAAAAAAGGGCCUUUAUUACUUUAUUAUAUAUAUAUUAUAUAUUUCUUUAUUACAAGACAAAUACCCUGAAAUAAAUUGCUUGUUUCCAUAGAGGCCAAACAAAAUGAUCCACAGUUGAGCUAUUUGUUUUUUCUCAGUUUCACUUCACACUCUAAAAAAAGCAAGAACCAAAUAAAAACUGUUUCUAAGGUGUGGAAAAUGCUUUCUGGUGGUGGUGCUAGUCACAGGAACAUUUUCAUAAGUAGCUGUUUAUGUAAAUAUUUACCUAAAAAUGCAAAAGAGGGUGGAACCAAACUAUAUUUUCAUUCAUGGUGAUAUGUACUUUUUAAAAAUUGCAAAGAACAGAAUUCAGAAUGUUUGACCCCAGUGCCAUCCAUGGACAUCUCCGGGUAAUUUUUUAAUUCAGAAAUUAAUUCAAAUAUACUUAAGCAGUGGGAAACAUCUCCAUGAAGUGACACACCGACUUCUGUAGAACCGAUAGCCUCUUUCACUGCAGUGCCAGAAUGUCAUGCAACUUCCCAUUAGCACAGGAGGAUGGAAAGUAUUUACUGCUUCAACCAGAGCUGCAACCUUCACUCAGGAGCAUUGUUUUACACUUUGCAAAACUCUGUUUUUUGUUUUGUUUUGUUUUGUUUUGUUUUGUUUUUGUUUGUUUGUUUUUUGUUUUGAGGAAAGCAUCUGAGUAUUGGAUGGGGCCCUGGGCAAUCUGAUCUAGUACCUGAUCUAGCAGCUGGGAACCCUGCCUGCAGCUGGGGGCUUGAAACUUUGUGAUCCUUGAGGUCCCUUCCAAUCCAAGCCAUUUUAUGAUUCUGUGGUAUGCUACAGAAAACUACCAUUUUGCCAUGAUAAAACUUGUGGUUGUUUUUGUUAAUCUGUGAUUAGAAACAUCUGCCUGUGGAAGCCCCAUCGGUAAUGCUUCCUUUUAUUCUUUACACUAUAUUGCCCUGUUUGCAGCAGGCUGAUUUUUGGACAGACUCACCCAUAUGACUGCUCUUGAUUUCUUCAGGUUUCUGACAGGUCAUUUAUCAUUUUUAAAUUUUUGCAUUUUGAAUGAAAAUACUUGAAAGCAGAACUGAUCCCUAAGCUUUUAAGUUUAUCCUGAUUAUAUCAGUCCAAACAAUCACAGACCUAUAAAAUGCUCCAGGUUGAUAGAAACCUUGCAAUGUCACCUGGUCCAAAAUUACACAGAAAAGAGAUCCUACAGGAAUUCAUCUAGGAAUCUGUCCAGUCACAUCUUGAAAACCUCUUGUGAUGGGGACUCCAUCAUGUCCCUGGGAUAGUAUUCCAGCAAUUUCUUGUUCAAUUGUAAAAAAUUUCUUGCUUAUUAUCAAAAUGAAACCUCCCUUGUGCAACUUGUACCCAUUGCCCCCUGUCUUCUCACAUGGCUUCCUGUGAAGAGUGAGAGCCUGUCAUCUUUGUAGCCUCCAUUUAAGCACUAGCAUCCCAUGAUAAGGUUUAUCUGAGGUUUCCCUUCUCCAGGGUGAAAAGACCUAGCCACCAGCCUAGGCCCACCAGGACCUCCACGUCCCUUUCACCGUGGUUUCUCCCCAGCCACCAGACUGCAGCCCAUUCUGAACUCUUUGAACAUGUUGUCUGAUGUGUGGCACCUUUCACUUAUUUUUGUUAACUUUCACAUUAUUCUCCUUUGUCCACACUUUCACAUUUAACAUUAGCUAUUGAAAAUAAACAUUUAGUUCCCAGCAGUUGUUAAAAUACCAUUAUGGAUUGUAUUUAAAUUUAUGAUUUACAUAAAGAGUAAUUAUGUUCAUGUGAGAUCACAGUAAUGAUGAUGAUGACAAGAUCAAGAAGCAGAUCUGUGAGCACAAAUGUCUGCCACCUGAUUUUAAACAUCAGAUGACCUAAAUGGAAGCUUACAUAAAUUUAUAGCAUCAUUUUGUUAACUCAAUAUAAAUAAUCCUUUAAAUUUUAUUCUCCAUUUGAAGAUAAAGUAAAUUAUAGUUGACUCUCCUUGACACUGUUGAUACCAUAGCUGCACUGGCUUCAUCACUUCAUUGGCAACUAAUGUGAAAUGCAUUGAGUAAGAAGGAUAUAAAAAUGCAUGGGUGGAAGAACAGUCUGCAGCUUGCUGCCUGCCAUCAAACUUUGUGUGUGCUUUCCACAUUUUCAGCAUCUUCAUCAUCCUACACCCUCUGUCAUGGGUUUUGCUCAAGAGUCUGGCUGCCAUGAUAUGGACCAAAACUAAUGUUUCCACCUAGGCUGUGAUGGAUUGUUCCAGCUGGAGGGAGCUGCCCUAGAUAUUACAGAACCACAGAAUUGUAGGGAUUGGAAGGGACUUCUGGAUGUCAUCAAGUUCAACCCCCCUGCUAAAGUAGGUUUCCUACAGCAGGUCACACAGGUAGGCAUCCAGGUGGGCCUUGAAUAUCUCCAUAGAAGGACACUCCACAACAUAUUUGAGCAGCCUGUACCAACGCUCCAUCAUUAUGAUAGUGAAGUUCUUCCUUAUAUUAGCAUGGAAAUUUCCAUAUCAAAAUUUCUGCCCAUUGCCUCUUGUUCUAUAGUUGCUCACCACUGAAAACAGUUCACCCCCAUCAACUUGGCUCCUGCAUUUUACGUGUUUAUAAACAGUGAUGAGAUCCCCUCUCUAUACCUUCUCUUCUACAGGCUGAGUAGUACCAGGCCUCCCUGCUCUUCCUCAUAAAGGAGGUGCUCUAGAUCCUUUAUCAUCUUUGUGGCCCCCUGCUAGACUGUCAUCAGUAGUUCCCUGUCUUGAACUGGGAGCCCAGAACUGGACACAGUACCCCAGGUGUGGCCUCACCAGAGCAGAGUAGAUGGGGAGGAUCACCUUUCUCAUCCUGCUGGCCACACUCUUUAAUGCACCCAGGCUACAGGCCUCCAACCAGACUCUGUGUCAGUGAUCACAAUUCUCUGAGCAUUACAUCAUACUACAAUGUAUUAUUAUGAAAUAAUUUUAAUUUAUUAGCAUAAGAAAAGUUCAAGGAUUGUUUCCACUAACCUUAAUUGCUUUACUGAUAUUAAAUAAUAAGAUUCUGUUAUUUUCUUGUAUUUGGCAUUUCCUUCUGCACUUUUACUCUGAUUUGCCUUGGCCUUCUGCCAAAUGUGUAUCAGGUGUAGAGAAUCUGCCCUAAACCCCAAUUUUCCUACAAAAAAAGAGAGAGAUAACUGUAUUUAAGAGAAUUAUAUAAAAGUACAGCAAUAAAUUACUUCUAUGGGCAUAUGAAAAGCAAAACAAUAGCUUUAAAUUGACACCCCAGGUAAGAUGCUUGCAUCAACCAUGAAUUCAUACUGCUUUUAUGUAAUUUAAAAAAGAGAGUGUGUGGAGUACUGCAGCAUGUAGCAUUUUACAAUAAAACAGCUAGAAUCUGAUGCUGCAGAAGAGAGAGGAUGCGAAUACCUUCUCCUCUCCUGUGAAAUCAGCCUGGGGACCUCCAUUCUCUGCAAGAUGUAAGCUGGAGAUACAUUGGAUGUAUCACGUACGUAGUCAUGUCACUACAUUGAUGAAUGUAGUCACUUAAAAAUAGUGUGGCCAGCAGGAGCAGGGAGGUAAUCGUCCCCCUGUACUCAGCACUGGUGAGGCCGCACCUCGAGUACUGUGUUCAGGUUUGGGUCCCUCACUACAGGAAAGAUAUUGAGGUCCUGGAAUGCGUCCAGAGAAGUGCAAUGAAACUGAUGAAGGUUCUGGAGCACAAGUCUUACGAGGAGCGGUUGAGGGAGCUGGGAUUUUUCAGUCCGAAAAAGAGGAAGUUCAGGGCAGCCCUCACUGCACUCUACAACUUCCUGAAGGGACGUUUUGAUGAGGAGAGGUUUGGCCUCUUCUGCCAGGCAACAAAUGGGAUGCGAGGAAAUGGCCACAAGUUGUGUCAUAGGAGGUUUAGGUUAGACAUGAGGAAAAACUUUUUCUCUCAGAGAGUGGUCAGGCACUGGAAUGGCUGCCCAGGGAUGUGGUGGAGUCACUGCCCCUGGCAGUAUUCAAGAGGUGUCUGGAUGAGGAGCUACGAGAUAUGGUUUAGUGGCUUGUGGUAGUAAUGGCAAUGGGAUGAUGGUUGGACUAGAUGUUCUUGUGGGUCCUUUCCAACCUUCUGAUUCUAUGAUUCUAUGAUAAGAUUUUAACUAGCAUACAGAAUACAAUCAGAACCAGGACAGCUGACCUAAACUGGCUUAAGAGGUGUUCCAUUCCACAUAGCAUCAUGAGAAAAAACUAUAAACUGUGAAGAGCUGUUCAGGGGUUAGUCACUGCUCAGGGGCUGUAUGGGCACUGGUCAGUGGGUGGUGAGCAAUUGCUUUGUACAUCACUUGUUUUGUAAAUAUGUAUUAUUAUCAUCUCUGUUACUUUUCUCUUCAUUUUCUGCCUCAGUAAAUAAUUUUUUGUCUCAAAUUA